rnacentral:misc_RNA from 1 species
GAUGAAGAACGCAGCGAAAUGCGAUAAGUAAUGUGAAUUGCAGAAUUCAGUGAAUCAUCGAAUCUUUGAACGCACAUUGCGCCCAUUAGCAUUCUAGUGGGCAUGCCUGUUCGAGCGUCAUUUCAACCCUUAAGCCCUGUUGCUUAGCGUUGGGAGCCUACAGUACUGUAGCUCCCCAAAGUUAGUGGCGGAGUCGGUUUCACACUCUAGACGUAGUAAUUUUUUCUCGUCUGUAGUUGAGCCGGUCCCCUGUCGUAAAACACCCAAUUUAUCAAGGUUGACCUCGGAUCAGGUAGGAAUACCCGCUGAACUUAAGCAUAUCAAUAAGCGGAGGA